rnacentral:lncRNA from 1 species
GGGGAAGGUUCCAGAAGGGGGCCAUCUGUCUCGUAAGUUCCAUAACAGACAGACAGGCGACCCCCAGGAAGGCUCAAGAAGGGCUGAUGGGGACUCCCUCGGGGAAGGUCCACAAGGUGGCUAAUCUUGCAGGAAUGAUGCUCCCCUUGGCCUUACUCCUCAUUGCAGGGCUCUCAGAGGUGGAAACCAGUGUCACCAGGGCUCCUUCUGGAUGGACCUAUAAUGUGGAAUGUUAUCACUGUGAGGUAAAAACUCCUUCAAUUGUCCAGAAAAGAAGAUAUGUGAAUAUCAUCUUAGACGCUGUAUGACAGUCUCCAUUCUGAGUCCUAAGUCAGUCAACUGGAAGCUCAGUGAUGUCUCAAGGGGACAAGAGGAAACAAAACUGAACUGAGGAAAAGGGGAAGACCAACAGACUCCCACAAAAAGUGGUUCUCAUGCAGUGUAUUGCUGGCUAUUACAGAGGCAAAGCUCUGGCACCAUAAAACAUACAGUCCCAUCUUGUAGCUUCUCUUCAAUUACAGGAUGUCUCAAGUCUAUUUCUACAUCGUCAAGUCCUCCGUCAUUGCAAUACUCGCAAUUAUAGCAAUGAGUGAAAUAGAAACCUGUAGACUUCAAGGGUAGUUCAAGUCUUGCACUUUCCAAAGGCUGUUCAGAUUCAAGCACGAAUGUGAAGUUAGAAGUACAGUUCUUGUAAAUGAGUAGCUUAUGGAAAUGAAGGCCUGCAAAAGGAAUCAUAAAAAGUUACUUUCACAUCUCGUGAUUAAACACUCCAGCACAUUCAACCAAAACUAGUUCCACGCAUCCAUUCUGCAUUUCCAAAUGUUACUGCAGUACGUCACCUAAACCUCUUGACU